GGGUUGUGAGGUUAAGCGACUAAGCGUACACGGUGGAUGCCCUGGCAGUCAGAGGCGAUGAAGGACGUGCUAAUCUGCGAUAAGCGUCGGUAAGGUGAUAUGAACCGUUAUAACCGGCGAUUUCCGAAUGGGGAAACCCAGUGUGUUUCGACACACUAUCAUUAACUGAAUCCAUAGGUUAAUGAGGCGAACCGGGGGAACUGAAACAUCUAAGUACCCCGAGGAAAAGAAAUCAACCGAGAUUCCCCCAGUAGCGGCGAGCGAACGGGGAGCAGCCCAGAGCCUGAAUCAGUGUGUGUGUUAGUGGAAGCGUCUGGAAAGGCGCGCGAUACAGGGUGACAGCCCCGUACACAAAAAUGCACAUGCUGUGAGCUCGAUGAGUAGGGCGGGACACGUGGUAUCCUGUCUGAAUAUGGGGGGACCAUCCUCCAAGGCUAAAUACUCCUGACUGACCGAUAGUGAACCAGUACCGUGAGGGAAAGGCGAAAAGAACCCCGGCGAGGGGAGUGAAAAAGAACCUGAAACCGUGUACGUACAAGCAGUGGGAGCACGCUUAGGCGUGUGACUGCGUACCUUUUGUAUAAUGGGUCAGCGACUUAUAUUCUGUAGCAAGGUUAACCGAAUAGGGGAGCCGAAGGGAAACCGAGUCUUAACUGGGCGUUAAGUUGCAGGGUAUAGACCCGAAACCCGGUGAUCUAGCCAUGGGCAGGUUGAAGGUUGGGUAACACUAACUGGAGGACCGAACCGACUAAUGUUGAAAAAUUAGCGGAUGACUUGUGGCUGGGGGUGAAAGGCCAAUCAAACCGGGAGAUAGCUGGUUCUCCCCGAAAGCUAUUUAGGUAGCGCCUCGUGAAUUCAUCUCCGGGGGUAGAGCACUGUUUCGGCAAGGGGGUCAUCCCGACUUACCAACCCGAUGCAAACUACGAAUACCGGAGAAUGUUAUCACGGGAGACACACGGCGGGUGCUAACGUCCGUCGUGAAGAGGGAAACAACCCAGACCGCCAGCUAAGGUCCCAAAGUCAUGGUUAAGUGGGAAACGAUGUGGGAAGGCCCAGACAGCCAGGAUGUUGGCUUAGAAGCAGCCAUCAUUUAAAGAAAGCGUAAUAGCUCACUGGUCGAGUCGGCCUGCGCGGAAGAUGUAACGGGGCUAAACCAUGCACCGAAGCUGCGGCAGCGACGCUGAUGCGUUGUUGGGUAGGGGAGCGUUCUGUAAGCCUGCGAAGGUGUGCUGUGAGGCAUGCUGGAGGUAUCAGAAGUGCGAAUGCUGACAUAAGUAACGAUAAAGCGGGUGAAAAGCCCGCUCGCCGGAAGACCAAGGGUUCCUGUCCAACGUUAAUCGGGGCAGGGUGAGUCGACCCCUAAGGCGAGGCCGAAAGGCGUAGUCGAUGGGAAACAGGUUAAUAUUCCUGUACUUGGUGUUACUGCGAAGGGGGGACGGAGAAGGCUAUGUUGGCCGGGCGACGGUUGUCCCGGUUUAAGCGUGUAGGCUGGUUUUCCAGGCAAAUCCGGAAAAUCAAGGCUGAGGCGUGAUGACGAGGCACUACGGUGCUGAAGCAACAAAUGCCCUGCUUCCAGGAAAAGCCUCUAAGCAUCAGGUAACAUCAAAUCGUACCCCAAACCGACACAGGUGGUCAGGUAGAGAAUACCAAGGCGCUUGAGAGAACUCGGGUGAAGGAACUAGGCAAAAUGGUGCCGUAACUUCGGGAGAAGGCACGCUGAUAUGUAGGUGAAGUCCCUCGCGGAUGGAGCUGAAAUCAGUCGAAGAUACCAGCUGGCUGCAACUGUUUAUUAAAAACACAGCACUGUGCAAACACGAAAGUGGACGUAUACGGUGUGACGCCUGCCCGGUGCCGGAAGGUUAAUUGAUGGGGUCAGCGCAAGCGAAGCUCUUGAUCGAAGCCCCGGUAAACGGCGGCCGUAACUAUAACGGUCCUAAGGUAGCGAAAUUCCUUGUCGGGUAAGUUCCGACCUGCACGAAUGGCGUAAUGAUGGCCAGGCUGUCUCCACCCGAGACUCAGUGAAAUUGAACUCGCUGUGAAGAUGCAGUGUACCCGCGGCAAGACGGAAAGACCCCGUGAACCUUUACUAUAGCUUGACACUGAACAUUGAGCCUUGAUGUGUAGGAUAGGUGGGAGGCUUUGAAGUGUGGACGCCAGUCUGCAUGGAGCCGACCUUGAAAUACCACCCUUUAAUGUUUGAUGUUCUAACGUUGACCCGUAAUCCGGGUUGCGGACAGUGUCUGGUGGGUAGUUUGACUGGGGCGGUCUCCUCCUAAAGAGUAACGGAGGAGCACGAAGGUUGGCUAAUCCUGGUCGGACAUCAGGAGGUUAGUGCAAUGGCAUAAGCCAGCUUGACUGCGAGCGUGACGGCGCGAGCAGGUGCGAAAGCAGGUCAUAGUGAUCCGGUGGUUCUGAAUGGAAGGGCCAUCGCUCAACGGAUAAAAGGUACUCCGGGGAUAACAGGCUGAUACCGCCCAAGAGUUCAUAUCGACGGCGGUGUUUGGCACCUCGAUGUCGGCUCAUCACAUCCUGGGGCUGAAGUAGGUCCCAAGGGUAUGGCUGUUCGCCAUUUAAAGUGGUACGCGAGCUGGGUUUAGAACGUCGUGAGACAGUUCGGUCCCUAUCUGCCGUGGGCGCUGGAGAACUGAGGGGGGCUGCUCCUAGUACGAGAGGACCGGAGUGGACGCAUCACUGGUGUUCGGGUUGUCAUGCCAAUGGCACUGCCCGGUAGCUAAAUGCGGAAGAGAUAAGUGCUGAAAGCAUCUAAGCACGAAACUUGCCCCGAGAUGAGUUCUCCCUGACUCCUUGAGAGUCCUGAAGGAACGUUGAAGACGACGACGUUGAUAGGCCGGGUGUGUAAGCGCAGCGAUGCGUUGAGCUAACCGGUACUAAUGAACCGUGAGGCUUAACCUUACAACGCCGAAGGUGUUU
rnacentral:rRNA from 1 species